rnacentral:tRNA from 1 species
GGAGCAGAGCGAAUUAGAACCAAAUAAAACGUAAAGGAAUAUCAACUACGUUCACUCGUAAUGAAUAGGUCGUCGGUUCGAUUCCGAUGGGCGGCUCCG